AUGCACGCUGGCGGCGUGCCUAAUCCAUGCCAGUCGAGCGAACAGACGAGGAGCUUGCUCCUCUGACGUUAGCGGCGGACGGGUGAGUAACACGUGGAUAACCUACCUAUAAGACUGGGAUAACUUCGGGAAACCGGAGCUAAUACCGGAUAAUAUAUUGAACCGCAUGGUUCAAUAGUGAAAGACGGUUUUGCUGUCACUUAUAGAUGGAUCCGCGCCGCAUUAGCUAGUUGGUAAGGUAACGGCUUACCAAGGCAACGAUGCGUAGCCGACCUGAGAGGGUGAUCAGCCACACUGGAACUGAGACACGGUCCAGACUCCUACGGGAGGCAGCAGUAGGGAAUCUUCCGCAAUGGGCGAAAGCCUGACGGAGCAACGCCGCGUGAGUGAUGAAGGUCUUCGGAUCGUAAAACUCUGUUAUUAGGGAAGAACAAAUGUGUAAGUAACUAUGCACGUCUUGACGGUACCUAAUCAGAAAGCCACGGCUAACUACGUG
rnacentral:rRNA from 1 species